rnacentral:tRNA from 31 species
GGGGCUAUAGCUCAGUUGGUAGAGCGCUUCGUUCGCAUCGAAGAGGUCGUGGUUUCGAUUACCAUUAGCUCCACUA